CCUACGGGAGGCUGCAGUGGGGAAUAUUGGGCAAUGGGCGAAAGCCUGACCCAGCAAAGCCGCGUGAAGGAAGAAGGCUUUAGGGUUGUAAACUUCUUUUGAUAGGGAAGAGAAGAAGACGGUACCUGUGGAAUAAGCAACGGCUAACUACGUGCCAGCAGCCGAGGUAAUACGUAGUGGGCAAGCUUUGUCCGGAUUUACUGGGGGUAAAGGGCGGGUAGCAGGGCUGACAAGUAAGAUGUGAAAUCCGGGGGCUCAACCCCCGAACUGCAUUUGAAACUGUUGGUCUUGAGUAUCGGAGAGGCAGGCGGAAUUCCUGGUGUAGCGGUGAAAUGCGUAGAUAUUAGGAGGAACACCAGUGGCGAAGGCGGCCUGCUGGACGACAACUGACGGUGAGGCGCGAAAGCGUGGGGAGCAAACAGGAUUAGAUACCCGAGUAGUC
rnacentral:rRNA from 1 species